ensembl:lncRNA
CCUGUAAGCUUCCCUCUGUCGGGAUAAGGAGCCAGGGCCGUUUUCCCAGGGCAGCGCUGAGGCUCCUUCGCUGAUUGGCUGAAUAACCUCACUACAAGGAAAGUUCACCAUGACAAAUCAUAUUCUCUGGAGAUGAAGAGAAAAGACCCUGGGAAAAAGGAAAAAUGAGAGAAGGAUGGAGGGAUGGAGAGGCAAAAAGCCAUUUUGGAAAGCCGUUGUGCUAGCCGGAUCAGUCUGAGCGCCACGUUUGACAGAGUGCUCUGUAGAAACCAUCACACACACUGCUGAUGAUAGUUGUGGUUGUUGUUGAGGAAUUAAGUAUGACCUUCACUCUAAUCGUGUUAGACAUUGGAAGGAAAGCGUCUAAUCAUCAAUCACUCAGCAGUCAGCAGAGUGGAAAGAUCACCCAACUCAAACACAGCGGGGACAAACAACAGCAUGCAGGGCUGUGACUAUACCAGCCCACCUUCAGGUUCACCAUUACCGCCAGGAUUGUCCGAUGCUUAUGAUCUCAGAGCUAGAGCUGCUGUUUUAAUGGCCUCCAUUUGGCAGGAAAGUAUUGCAGCUGCUGGGUGGUAAACCAAAAAAAAAUGGCAAUUUAUUUUAUUUUUUAUUUUAUUUUUUUUAUUGACCUUUUUAACAUUGUAUUUUUUCUGUGUAUCAGCACCUUGGUAGUCCAACUUGUAAUUGCUCCAUGGGGAUUAAAAAAGUUUUUUAAACUAAACUAAACUUAAACUCAAACUCUCACCAGUUGAGUUACAGGAACUUUGCAACAAAUUCAUAUGUCUUUUUGAAGAAGUCAGUCAGAUUAGGUAGAUGCCAGCAUCAUUUGCACCUUACACAAUGUGAAACUGUGUUUUUAGAGUUAUAUUUUUUACUUUUAUUUUGACAGGAGAGUUCAAAGUGAUAGGAGAGAGUGGAACAGGAUCUGGUCAGUGAGGUUUUUAAAAGAAGUCUCUCAUGCUCGCCAAGGCUGAAUUUAUUUGAUCAAAAUGUAAAAUAAUAUGACAGUUCAAAUUUACUAACAAUAAUUUAAAUGUAUAUUAAAAUGCAAUUUAUUCCUGUGAUGCAAUGCUAAAUUUUACAGCAGCCAUUACACCAGUCUUCAAU